GUUCUUAUCCCCUUCUCCCGCACAGGAGACGGCGGCGGCUACAUCCCGGCCAGGAGGAGCCCUCAUUUAUGCUUUUCACAUUUUGUUAUCUAUAUAUUGAUGAAAAGUUCUACCAUUCUAUUGUAAUAAUAGACGGGUGCAGCAACGCGCGCCAAUCAUGAUCUAGUAGUAUGUUGUGACUAGAAGGUAAACACAUCAAUUGUUCUUUGUAAUGUUAAUUUUUUUUCUUCCAAAUCUUAUAUUUCUCAACACAUGGAGGAUGUUGGCUAUGGCAUUGGCUGAUGAGGCAUCGCAGCAACCUACCCCAACCUCAACCUCGAAAGCUAGGAAGUUGACCCCGAAGAGAAGGAAGAUCUAGUGUUGUGCAUCAUCUUCUAUGUUCUCUAUGCUUUCGGUUGUAAUAUGUCAGACUUGGCAGCCCCUACUAAUUUGUGCAACAUCAUAGCCUUAUAUUAGAUGAUGUAUGAAAAUGUGAAAUAUCAGUUUUAUGCUA